UACGUAGGGUGCAAGCGUUGUCCGGAAUUAUUGGGCGUAAAGGGCUCGUAGGCGGUUUGUUGCGUCGGGAGUGAAAACUUCGAGCUUAACUCGGAGCUUGCUUUCGAUACGGGCAGACUUGAGGCAUUCAGGGGAGAACGGAAUUUCUGGUGUAGCGGUGAAAUGCGCAGAUAUCAGAAGGAACACCGGUGGCGAAGGCGGUUCUCUGGGAAUGUUCUGACGCUGAGGAGCGAAAGUGUGGGGAGCGAACAGG
rnacentral:rRNA from 1 species